UCUUGUUUACUGACGCUGCAAUAAUUAAAUGACUUUGCCUCGUGCUUUGGUCUCACUCACACGAUAUCAGGAAUCACUUUUUGAUAGAACACCCAUCCUUCCACUAUUUUAGUUCAAGCACGCUUAACCCUAGAGUUUUAAAUGGAUGUGUAGCGGAAAAAGUAAGUGCACUUUGGUGACAUAGAUAACCAAAUCAAUUC
rnacentral:lncRNA from 1 species